rnacentral:tRNA from 1 species
GCCCAGUUAGCUCAGUCGGCAGAGCACUUCCUUGGUAAGGAAGAGGUCUCGGGUUCGAGUCCCGAACUGGGCUCCA